AAAUUGCUUCUGCCAACUGGUUUUUGACAGAUUUAAAUCUCAUUACUGAUCAUAAAAUUCUUUUAAUCCUGAUCUCUAUUUAAAAUUCUGAUCAUUAGAAUUGACAAUCACUUGAAUUUGUAACACAGAUUAAUCACUAUUCCAAAGACAGUCAGUAUUACAAAGGUCAUCACACAUUUAUUAAUGAAAUGGUGUUUAGUAUCAAUUAUCAAUGUGGAAUAUAGGACAAAAAAUAUCUUUGAACUCUUUCGGUGUAAGGAAAAAUAGUUUUCGUUUCCGGCAUCUUUUUUAACUCCACACCUAACUUUUUCUAUUUCUUUACCAAUGGCAAGGCAUACGGUGUAUCACGUGACGAUUGCGUCAUGAAGCAACGUGAGGGAGUGUUUGUAAUGUUUACAUUGUCAUCGGUUUUGGCGUGGGCUGUUAAGGUAAAGAAAGCUUUCUCAGAAAAAGUGCAAACUUUUAUCUAAAUAAGAGAUCAAAAUGUGCAAGUGCCUUUGUUCCAUUGUGUGGUUGCUUAUCCUGAUCUUCAUUGGAUAUCCUGUCGGAUUCUUCUUCGCUGGAUGGUAUGUUCUUUUUUGCCCACUGGAAGCUUGUUGUGACGGCUGUUCGGGGAUAACGGGUUUUCUGCUCAAAGCUACGCAAUUCCCACUCUACUGCACCAAGAAUAUGCUGGCAGGCAAUGGACUUUGUGGAUAAGAACAUAUUUGAAUGUCAUAUCUUCUGAUUUUUCAUUGCUUUUAAUCAUGGUUCCAAAGGACUUAUAUUUUCACUGCCAACUAACUCAUAAAUAUCAUACAGUAUUUUGUCAAAAGUUUUUACAUUAAAUUAUAUUUUUGAUCAAAAA